rnacentral:rRNA from 1 species
AAAUUGAAGAGUUUGAUCAUGGCUCAGAUUGAACGCUGGCGGCAGGCCUAACACAUGCAAGUCGAACGGUAACAGGAAGCAGCUUGCUGCUUCGCUGACGAGUGGCGGACGGGUGAGUAAUGUCUGGGAAACUGCCUGAUGGAGGGGGAUAACUACUGGAAACGGUAGCUAAUACCGCAUAACGUCGCAAGACCAAAGAGGGGGACCUUCGGGCCUCUUGCCAUCGGAUGUGCCCAGAU